CAGUAGCCGCGGGAAUACGAAGGGUGCAAGCGUUACUCGGAAUUACUGGGCGUAAAGCGUGCGUAGGUGGUGGUUUAAGUCCGUUGUGAAAGCCCUGGGCUCAACCUGGGAAUUGCAGUGGAUACUGGGUCACUAGAGUGUGGUAGAGGAUAGUGGAAUUUCCGGUGUAGCAGUGAGAUGCGUAGAGAUCGGAAGGAACAUCUGUGGCGAAGGCGACUAUCUGGGCCAACACUGACACUGAGGCACGAAAGCGUGGGGAGCAAACAGGCUUAGAUACCCGCGUAGUCCCUGUCUCUUAUAC
rnacentral:rRNA from 1 species